rnacentral:tRNA from 1 species
CAGGUCGUAGCUAAAUACACAGCAUCUCCCUUACUCCGAGAAGACGCCCGUGCAAGCCGGGCCGCCCUGA